ensembl:lncRNA
CUGACAACUGCGCAGGGCUUAGAGACUGGUGUGGGGACAUGGGAAUCUGCCAGCAGCUUAUACACAGGUGGAUGACGGCAUUCAAAGUGGGCUGCACUGCUGUCUGGAAGAGGCUCAGCAUCUCCUGGAGCCAAGUGCAGGGCUGGGGCCAGCAGUGUCUGGGGGCAAGCCUCGUGCCUGCUUUUUGUGGCUGACCAUGGACAGCUCUUCCGCAUCUUUCUGGUCAGAGGCACCCUGUGAAUCUCCCAGAGGGGAGAUGUAAAAGCUCUGCACACUCAGCCCAUCAACACCAAAUCCACCAGCAACACAUCAGCUCGCCCCGAUGAGAUAAGGCAGAGAUCACCUGUCCAAUAAAAUCAUUAAGCA